rnacentral:misc_RNA from 1 species
UCCGAUUUGUCACCGGCAGUCUCCUAUGAGUCCCCGUCUUUCACGCUGGCAACAUAGGACAGGGGUUGCGCUCGUUGCGGGACUUAACCCGACAUCUCACGACACGAGCUGACGACAGCCAUGCACCACCUGUGCACGAGCCCCGAAGGGCUGCCGGUGUCAAACCGGAGGAAGGUGGGGAUGACGUCUGAGAGUACGUCC